rnacentral:rRNA from 1 species
GAUGAACGCUGGCGGCGUGCCUAAUUCAUGCAAGUCGAACGGCAGCACGGGGCAACCUGGUGGCGAGUGGCGAACGGGUGAGUAAUGCAUCGGAACGUACCUUUCAGUGGGGGAUAACGUAGCGAAAGUUACGCUAAUACCGCAUAUUCUGUGAGCAGGAAAGCGGGGGAUCGCAAGACCUUGCGCUGAUUGAGCGGCCGAUGUCAGAUUAGCUAGUUGGUGAGGUAAAUGCUCACCAAGGCGAGGAACUGUAGCGGGUCUGCGAGGAUGAUCCGCCACACUGGAACUGAGACACGGUCCAGACUCCUACGGGAGGCAGCAGUGGGGAAUUUUGGACAAUGGGGGCAACCCUGAUCCAGCCAUGCCGCGUGAGUGAAGAAGGCCUUCGGGUUGUAAAGCUCUUUCGGCCGGGAAGAAAUCGCACGGGCUAAUACCCUGUGUGGAUGACGGUACCGGAAUAAGAAGCACCGGCUAACUACGUGCCAGCAGCCGCGGUAA